AUCGAUCAUCGAUGAUCGAGCAUCGAUCACGUCGAUCGAUGAUCGAUGAUCGAUGAUCGAU
rnacentral:ncRNA from 1 species